UCCUGCAACAAACAUCAUG
rnacentral:misc_RNA from 1 species